UAGAAUCCUAUACCGAAGUGGUCAGACUGACAGACCGAUCAAGUUAGAAAGAAGUCUACAGUUUAAAGACAUGUCUCGAGGCCUUCCUCGGGAUCGAAGCAGACCCAACAGCCAUUUUCCUGAUUGAUUGACCGAGAAGGGUAUUCCGCCCUAUUGGUCUUCGGGAUUAUGGUCGAAGCAGAGUAGAUGAAGACCCAACAGCCAUUUUCCUGAUUGACUGACCGAGAAGGGUAUUCCGCCCUAUUGGUCUUCGGGAUUAUGGUCGAAGCAGAGUAGAUGAAGACCCAACAGCCAUUUUCCUGAUUGACUGACCGAGAAGGGUAUUCCGCCCUAUUGGUCUUCGGGAUUAUGGUCGAAGCAGAGUAGAUGUCGCACUCCUAAGAAUCCACUGAGGGCACACCGCCCUGUAGACACUUGUCUUCGGAGAUGCCCAUCUAAGGCUGUCAGGUUCAGAUUCAGCACACAAAAUGCACCCAUAUUCCUAAGCACCCGAAGAAGGUACCUCAUCCUAGGGGUUCUCGGGACUAUGGUGCAAGUAGAAGAGGGAGUAAUUCAAGAAUAUAUUCACCCGAGAACACAAAAAAAAGGCACUCUGCCUUAAGUGUUCUCGCCAACAGCGAAAGACUCAUCAGCAAAGUAGAUCUAUAAGCUGCACUCCUGGAAAUCCGAACACUUCGGUAAACAUUUCCAAGGUCGGUUGACAUUGUGGUCGGACAAUUCUUUUCUGAAGCUAAUAAUAGUUAAAGAGAAGCUGAGGAGUCUGAUAAAGCCGUUGCAGUUCUUUAGCAGAAGCAGAGUGUCAAUUUUGUUCUCAUUGAUGAGAAUCUUUAUCGAAUGACCUUUUUUGUCAUCAUUGCUUAAACAUUUGGUUCCAUCCGAAGCAGAGUGUGUUCUUCGGGAAGUUCAUAAAGACAUUUGUGGCAAUUAUUUGGCCCGAAGUUGUUGACCUACAAAGCACUUCGGCAGCGAUAUUCUUGAAAGAACUGGGAAUUCAGCAUAGAAAGACUUCGGGUAUUCUACUUUGGACCCAUUUCCUACUACUGAGGAAUUUUGGGUGCCACCCAAAGCUGCAGAUGUUAUUCGGAGGGUUCACGUGGAUGUUUGUGUCAGCUAAAUGGUUUGAUCCCACAUCAGCCACCAAAAGGCUAUAUUCGAUUUUAUCUCCUAUACCUCUUGCUGUCUGGGGGGUAGUCGUACUGGGUCCAUUGCCUAGGGAUCAGGUUAAUAGGCGUCAGCUCAUGGGAUCGAAGUUUAAAACAUUCAUGAGGGACUUCGGUAGCUCAUCCAUAGUCUGACAGGCACAGCAAAUGCCACCUCGGUGUUAGGAGGUUCGGGAGGACUUGCUGACCAUUCGAUGGUAGCCUCUUCGGCAGGUGGUCCCUAAGGCAUUGUCAGGCCCUUCGUGGUAGGCAAUUGUCGUCACUUAGACCUUGUCAGGCCCUUCGUGGUAGGCAAGUGUCAUCUUUUGGCAUUGUCAGGCCCUUCGUGGUAGGCAAUUGUCGUCACUUAGACCUUAUCAGGCCCUUCGUGGUAGGCAAGUGUCAUCUUUUGGCAUUGUCAGGCCCUUCGUGGUAGGUAAUUGUCAUCACUUAGACCUUGUCAGGCCCUUCGUGGUAGGCAAGUGUCAUCUUUUGGCAUUGUUAGGCCCUUCUGGUAGGCAAUUAUCGUCACUUAGACCUUGUCAGGCCCUUCGUGGUAGGCAAGUGUCAUCUUCUGGCAUUGUCAGGCCC
rnacentral:lncRNA from 1 species